rnacentral:rRNA from 1 species
ACUCCUACGGGAGGCAGCAGUGGGGAAUAUUGCACAAUGGGGGAAACCCUGAUGCAGCCAUGCCGCGUGUGUGAAGAAGGCCUUCGGGUUGUAAAGCACUUUCUAGUAGGGAGGAAGGUAGUGUAGUUAACACCUGCAUUAUUUGACGUUACCUACAGAAGAAGCACCGGCUAACUCCGUGCCAGCAGCCGCGGUAAUACGGAGGGUGCGAGCGUUAAUCGGAAUUACUGGGCGUAAAGCGCAUGCAGGCGGCCUGUUAAGUCAGAUGUGAAAGCCCGGGGCUUAACCUCGGAAUUGCAUUUGAAACUGGCAGGCUAGAGUCUUGUAAGAGGGGUUAGAAUUUCAGGUGUAGCGGUGAAAUGCGUAGAGAUCUGAAGGAAUACCAGUGGCGAAGGCGGCCCCCUGGACAAAGACUGACGCUCAGAUGCGAAAGCGUGGGAGCAAACAGGAUUAGAUACCCCGUGGUAGCGACUG